CCUACGGGAGGCAGCAGUAGGGAAUUUUCGUCAAUGGGGGGGAACCCUGAACGAGCAAUGCCGCGUGAGUGAGGAAGGUCUUCGGAUCGUAAAGCUCUGUUGUAAGAGAAAAACGGCACUCAUAGGGAAUGAUGAGUGAGUGAUGGUAUCUUACCAGAAAGUCACGGCUAACUACGUGCC
rnacentral:rRNA from 1 species